CGCCUUUUGAACUAUAAACAUAAAAGGUCCUGCCUGCCCAGUGACACUGUUUCAACGGCCGCGGUAUCAUGACCGUGCAAAGGUAGCGUAAUCACUUGUCUUUUAAAUAAAGACCGGUAUGAACGGCAAGACGAAAGCCUAACUGUCUCCCCAAGUCAAUCAAUGAAAUUGAUCUUCCCGUGCAGAAGCGGGAAUAACAAUAUAAGACGAGAAGACCCUGUGGAGCUUCAAACUUAAGCUAACAGAUCAAAAUGCCUUAGCACACAGUUUUAGGUUGGGGCGACCAUGAGGUAAAACUAAACCCUCAAGACAAAAACUAAGAAGGACACUUCAAAUAAAUAACAAUAGCGUAAUUGACCCAAUAAUUGAUCAACGAACCAAGUUACCCCAGGGAUAACAGCGCAAUCUACUCAAAGAGCCCUUAUCGACGAGCAGGUUUACGACCUCGAUGUUGGAUCAGGACCCCCAAAUAAUGUAACAAUUAUUAAAGGUUCGUUUGUUCAACGAUUAAAGUCCU
rnacentral:rRNA from 1 species